rnacentral:rRNA from 1 species
GCGUAAGCGCACGCAGGCGGUCUGUCAAGUCGGAUGUGAAAUCCCCGGGCUCAACCUGGGAACUGCAUUCGAAACUGGCAGGCUAGAGUCUUGUAGAGGGGGGUAGAAUUCCAGGUGUAGCGGUGAAAUGCGUAGAGAUCUGGAGGAAUACCGGUGGCGAAGGCGGCCCCCUGGACAAAGACUGACGCUCAGGUGCGAAAGCGUGGGGAGCAAACAGGAUUAGAUACCCUGGUAGUCCACGCCGUAAACGAUGUCGACUUGGAGGUUGUGCCCUUGAGGCGUGGCUUCCGGAGCUAACGCGUUAAGUCGACCGCCUGGGGAGUACGGCCGCAAGGUUAAAACUCAAAUGAAUUGACGGGGGCCCGCACAAGCGGUGGAGCAUGUGGUUUAAUUCGAUGCAACGCGAAGAACCUUACCUACUCUUGACAUCCAGAGAACUUUCCAGAGAUGGAUUGGUGCCUUCGGGAACUCUGAGACAGGUGCUGCAUGGCUGUCGUCAGCUCGUGUUGUGAAAUGUUGGGUUAAGUCCCGCAACGAGCGCAACCCUUAUCCUUUGUUGCCAGCGGUCAGGCCGGGAACUCAAAGGAGACUGCCAGUGAUAAACUGGAGGAAGGUGGGGAUGACGUC